AGCAGGUGGGGUGGGUGACGUCCUGGCCAGGGGCUGGGCGGCUGUCACAGGGACAGGUCGGAAUCCUGUGUCACCUGGCGUUCCUCGUCUGGGCAGAGACCCUCUCCCAGGGAGAAGCCAAGAAGGCAGGUGAUCUGUGGCCUGCCCCCCCUUGACAGGAAAGGAGAGGGAGCCCUCAGAGGUGGAGCGUAAGCCAGAGCCACAUCCUGGAAUGUAACUCCUGCCCCCAUGCCGUUUUUUUUGCUGGGAUAACAAAAGUUCAGGCUACAAAGCAACAUAUUGAAAUGCACCCUUCCCAUCACUGCAAGGAAAGGCCAGACCCUCUAACACCAGUAGCCUCAAGGUAUUAUGAGAUGAAUUGCAGUGAUAAUUGGUGUGGUUAAGAGACAGAAGGGAUUGCUUCAGUCUGAACUGGCUUUAUACCAAGGAGGGAGGAUUUGAGGUGGGCCCCAAAGGGUAGGGGAGUUUACACUGGCAUAUCCAUGAGACCUCUCUCUGCUCCCAUUUGGGUCUGGAGGGUUUCCCAACUGAAAGAACAUUCAAAGUGGGUCCUGCAGGUAGAUUCUCAGAUUUAUCAUGUGGAUCCAUAAGUCAGAGGCACUUACAUAGCAUUCAAGGUAGGUUGCUCCAAAUAAAUAUUGCCGCUAUCAAUAAAGAAAUAUAAGCAGUCUACAGAUCUCUAUAUCCAGAUGGGCGCCAACAUCCCCCUUGGAACUAUCUCAGACCCACCUUGAAUGCUGUGUAAGUUGGGAAGCCUUCCAGACCCCACUGUGAGCAGAAGGGGACCUCGUGGCUAAGCCAGCGUGAACUUGCCUGAGACAACAAUACCAGUCAACAGUAUUCCUAAACUGCCCUCUGUUCGUGGUAUCGUUUCUGAGUUAGAAGCCACUAGUUAGAUUCUGGCCACUGUGUUGUGACAAUGCAGGAGCGUCCUUGAUGGAGCCACUUCUCAGGAAGACCUCACACAAAAGCAGAGGCCAUAAUAUUAAGUAACAGUUCCACGAUGUCCUACCAUGGAGGACUAGCCUUAGAUUUUGGUAUGUUGCCUCCUGGUGAUUUAACUUAGCAGAGAGAUGGACUUUAGAAACGCCUGGCAGGGUGGUUGCUUACAUGACCCUGGCUAUUUCACCGGUAUUAAUUAUGCUGUGCUUCUGGCAGGAGCUUGAUAGCUGGGAACUAAACAUGGAGCUUCCUGAGUGCACUAUAUUGUUGGUAGAAGUGGAAUCCAUUGGCAUCAGAAGUCAGAGGUGUACAGAUAACAAUGCUGAUAUUCCAUUAUGAAAGCUGAAGAACUUGUCUCUUCUUCCCACCAUGUUUACAUUGAUCCCACCUCCUUAUGGAAGAGGGUCACUGGACUACAUGCAGGAAAUAGCCAGUAGCUUCAGCAUCCCGAGUCAGAGGAAAGGAUAAUGGCUGGGGUGGGAAAUGACUGUUCUUAGGCCUGCAGGCUUCCUAGACCCUCUGUGGACAGGGCUACUAAGAUAACAGGCACUGCAGAGACCAAAUCUUAACAAAGACAUAGGAUGUCUCGCUCACCGUCUGGGAUAAGUUCGGUACAAUGAAAGUCUGCUCUCCUAAUGCUGAUAAUAGGGCUUGAUGUUACUACAAGGAUACAGAGGUCUAUGAUGGAGGCUGUUCAGUGUUGCUUUCAUUUGGGGAUGCAGGUAUUCGUUUUGGGGAAGUAUUUUGCUAAUAUUUUAUUCUUCCACGAUUUACACCAGGGGGCAGCAAACUUUCUCUGUAAAGGGCCAAAUUACUAAAUAAUUUAGGCUUUGCAAGCAACUACUCAAUUCUGCUUUACCACUGUAGUACAAAACAGCUGCAGACAAAGCAUGGCUAUGCUCCAGUAAAGCUUCAUGAAAACAUGGUGGGCCAGAUUUGGUCCAUGGGCUGUAGUUUGCCUACCCUGAUCUAGACUAAAUCCUAUCCAUAUUCAUUUAGCAUUCUUCUGCAGCUUUUCAUGGCUGGGAUGCUUUCCAUGUACAUAAUAUUAGUGUUAAAUGACAAAAUGUACUUGGUAAAGUUCGGCCCAAACAUUUUAGCCACCACAUGCACUGCUCAGGGCAUUCACUGCCCUUGAACAUGAAGGAGAAUUGUAUGAUUUAAGGAAUUGUUGCAACUGACAAGAAAACCUGACCCAAACAGGCUUAAAGCCGAGAGGAGAUGUGUUGAUUCAUAAACUGAAUCAUCCAGGAAUUAGCUUGGCUUUCCGAGUGGCUUCAGUGGCUUUCUUUCCAUCUUUCUAUAUCAGCUGCAGUCUCAGGCUCUCUCCAUGUGGUUCUAAAAUGGCAGUAGCAAUAGCUCCAGACCUUACAUCCUCUUAGGGUCAAGUUCAGCAGACGAGCAGCUGGCACUUUCUUCCCAGUGAGUAUCAUUGCAUUUCACUGACUUUGAUCAAGCCAAGUGCCUUUCUGAGAUGCAAUCCUGUGGCCAGGAGAUUACAGUGCACUGAUUGAUCAAAUGCUUCUCCCAUGAGUGGGAAAUGGGGCUCCAUCAGAAGCACAUAGUCCAAGAAUGGGGAAGGAAUGAAGCCCCAGUGCAAAUUAGGGUUGUAGCCAAAAGGGGGAGAUGGAUGCUAGAGAGGCAAAGUCACCACGUUCUCUCCAAUGGUGGAUUCUAGAAACCUGUAGUGGACACUGUGGCAUCCAUUCCUCCCCUCCCCAGCUGUGGCAGCCAAAAGGCCUGUGUGGGUGUGUCCCCCCUCCUACCUCCAGGCUGGGCCCUGAUUGGCCUAAGCUGAUCAUUUUAAUCCAUCCCUCUGCUUGAGUAAUUUGUUCAGGUUUCAUAAUAAGCCAGGCCUAAGCCAAUCAAUCAGCAUGGUUUGUCCUAGCUUCAGUGAUUGAUUCAGAGCCAAGGAUGUGGCCUAAAAUAGACCAAAGAGAGAGAAGCCCUGGACAUUUGAUGACAGGGGAAAAGCAGUUCUCUCCUAUUAGGGAUGGUAGAAUGUGUGGCCUGGGACUCCAACAACCAUUUUCCUACCUAGAAGGAAGCCAGUCCACACAGACUCCCUGAGACACUUACCGAGAAACACAGCCAGAACCCUGUCACACGACUCCUGCAGCCUGGAUCUGCCUCUGCAUUUUUCAGCUGUAUUAGCCCCAGAGCCAUGAACUGCUUACCUGCUGCCUGAAGAAUGCUGGUCGUUCUUGUCACCUCCAUCCAAACAACCCCUGAGAGGGAGCCUCCUGGUUACUGUCUCUCCUCAUUUGAUCCUUGACUCAACCUCAUGAGGACGAGGAUGGUGACAGCGAACAGCAGGGGCAGGCUCACCUCAGCCUUCUGACCCGCUGCCCACCGUCUGUCAGGUCCCCGGCUUAGAGCCACGGCCCCUGCACCAAACGCGUGCCACCCGAGUGCAGAGUGUGACGCCGCGUGAGUCACGAGCAAGGCCCCGGUGAGUCAGUCUUCCCGGGAGCUGACCACAGCCAGCCUUCUCCACUCCAGCCCGGCAUGCCUGACUGGUUCCUGGACAUCCUCUUUCACUUCCUCGCAACAACCUCCUUGCCUCUGCUUUUCACCAGCUGGUGCAGGAGGUUGGGAGGACGGGGCCAGGCGGCUGAUGUCCCUCCCUCCUACUUCUCGGGCACAUCCAAGGAGAAAGCCAGGCAGGCGGGCAGAGUGCUCAUCACCAGCCCAGCUUAAUGGGAAGCUUUCUCUGCCCCCUGCAGAAACACAGAUGUGGAAAAAU